rnacentral:rRNA from 1 species
AGGGUUUGAUCCUGGCUCAGAUUGAACGCUGGCGGCAGGCCUAACACAUGCAAGUCGAGCGGCAGCGACAGUAACAAUCCUUCGGGUGCGUUAUUGGGCGGCGAGCGGCGGACGGGUGAGUAAUGCCUGGGAAUAUGCCUUAGUGUGGGGGAUAACUAUUGGAAACGAUAGCUAAUACCGCAUAAUGCCUACGGGCCAAAGAGGGGGACCUUCGGGCCUCUCGCGCUAAGAUUAGCCCAGGUGGGAUUAGCUAGUUGGUGGGGUAAAGGCUCACCAAGGCGACGAUCCCUAGCUGGUCUGAGAGGAUGAUCAGCCACACUGGAACUGAGACACGGUCCAGACUCCUACGGGAGGCAGCAGUGGGGAAUAUUGCACAAUGGGGGAAACCCUGAUGCAGCCAUGCCGCGUGUAUGAAGAAGGCCUUCGGGUUGUAAAGUACUUUCAGUCGUGAGGAAGGGUGUGUAGUUAACAGCUGCAUACCUUGACGUUAGCGACAGAAGAAGCACCGGCUAACUCCGUGCCAGCAGCCGCGGUAAUACGGAGGGUGCGAGCGUUAAUCGGAAUUACUGGGCGUAAAGCGCAUGCAGGCGGUCUGUUAAGCAAGAUGUGAAAGCCCGGGGCUCAACCUCGGAACAGCAUUUUGAACUGGCAGACUAGAGUCUUGUAGAGGGGGGUAGAAUUUCAGGUGUAGCGGUGAAAUGCGUAGAGAUCUGAAGGAAUACCGGUGGCGAAGGCGGCCCCCUGGACAAAGACUGACGCUCAGAUGCGAAAGCGUGGGGAGCAAACAGGAUUAGAUACCCUGCUAGUCCACGCCGUAAACGAUGUCUACUUGGAGGUUGUGGCCUUGAGCCGUGGCUUUCGGAGCUAACGCGUUAAGUAGACCGCCUGGGGAGUACGGUCGCAAGAUUAAAACUCAAAUGAAUUGACGGGGGCCCGCACAAGCGGUGGAGCAUGUGGUUUAAAUUCGAUGCACGCGAAGAACCUUACCUACUCUUUGACAUCCAGAGAAGCCAGAAGAGAUUUU